CAUCGACCGUCGGUCGUCGGCCGUCGCCCUCGCACUCGCAGUCACCAGUCGCAGCGCAGGCGCAGCCUCGCACACUCUCUCUCUCAGAUCGGAUCCGAGAGGUCGGCUCCUCCUCUCGACUUCUUCGCCGCCGUCGUCCUUCGAUCUGGUGACAUCGCCGUCGCCGUCGGCUCUCUGCCUCUCUCCCUGAGUUCCCUGCUCCCUGCCUCCCUCUCCCUAUCUGUCUCCCUUCUUCCUCUAUCCUGUCCAUGAGCAUGUGAGUCCGCCUCCCCGUCUCCGUUCCGUAGUCGCUCGUCGUCCUUCUUAAUCUCGUCUUCUCCGGCGCCGGGCUCCGGUU
rnacentral:lncRNA from 1 species